rnacentral:rRNA from 1 species
UGGGGAAUCUUGCACAAUGGGGGAAACCCUGAUGCAGCGACGCCGCGUGAACGAUGAAGCCCUUCGGGGUGUAAAGUUCUUUCGACAGGAACGAUAAUGGCGGUACCUGGAGAAGAAGCUGCGGCUAACUACGUGCCAGCAGCCGCGGUAAUACGUAGGCAGCGGGCGUUGUUCGGAGUUACUGGGCGUAAAGAGUGCGUAGGCGGCGAGCCAAGUUUGGUGUGAAAUCUCCCGGCUUAACCGGGAGGGUGCGCCGAAAACUGGUUGGCUGGAGUAUGGGAGAGGAAAGCGGAAUUCCUGGUGUAGCGGUGAAAUGCGUAGAUAUCAGGAGGAACACCUGCGGUGUAGACAGCUUUCUGGACCAAAACUGACGCUGAGGCACGAAAGCGUGGGUAGCAAACA